UUUUUGACUCCUCCAGAGGGGCACUCUUGGUUUAAAGAUGCAGUGGAAUUUCAAUACAUUUCCACUGGACUAACCUUUAGAUUUAAACCAAGAGCACCAUCUUGAGGUGUCAAAAAGUAUCACAGGUGCUUCAUGAAGCUUCGUUUUGCCAUCGUAAAUGUAUGGAGUCGUUUGCAUGUUUUCGGGUGUAAGUCGGUAUGUUUGUGAUCUAAACGAUGAGAUGAAAUGCUUUUAUAUGCUUUUUUUUAAAAACAAAAUAUUCACCAUAGCUUUACCGAUUUAACACGUUUGUCGUUUUUGGUAAUUGCAUUUUUGUGUUUGGUGUCCGACCAAGCAAGUUAACAUGUUUGCGUGUUCAAUCUCAAAGUGAAUUCGAUGGGAUUCCGCCUCGACCUGCUUGAUAAACAGCACAGGCGAAUGGGCAGAAGGCCAAAAAUCUCAUGUUCUUGCCCCUCCACGCCCCAGGAAGACGUAAACUACAAUAGCUUGAGGUUUCAAUCACAGCCUUUCUUUUGCUGAAAGGUGAUCCCCCAAGGGAAAUUCCAAGUAGCAAAUACCGGUCCCGCAAGUGGGUACAGUUGAAACUCAAAAAGUCCCGCGGAAGCCGGUGCCUCCGCGUUCUUGAAACGUGGUCAGUUUGCAAAAUCGUCGUCGUUCAUAACCAGGACCAUACUGAAUGUAACCUUUUUUUGUGACAGACAAAUCACUAAUGUCAUGAAAAUCAAAUAAAUGUUUGAAUAAAGGCUUCCUGCACUGUUUCUGAGAAAA